rnacentral:tRNA from 1 species
CGUUAAGAAGCUAUACAUCAGCGCUAGCCUUUUAAGCUAGAGAGAGAGGGCUACUCAUCCCUCCUUAAUGA